GAGCGAAAACUUCGCAAUGUGGGCAACCACGACGAGGGGACUCCAAGUGCUCAAGCUAAGCUUGGGCUGUUUUCGUGCCUAAAAAGCACGGAGAGUAAGGGCUGGGUAAGACGGGUGCCAGCCGCCGCGGUAAUACCCGCAGCCCGAGUGGUGAUCAUUAUUAUUGGGCCUAAAACGUCCGUAGCCGGCCCGGUAAAUUCUUGGGGAAAUCGGUGUGCUUAACGCAUCGAAGUCCGAGGAGACUGCCGGGCUUGGGACUGGGUGAGGUCAGAGGUACUUCUGGGGUAGGGGUAAAAUCCUGUAAUCCUGGAAGGACCACCAGUGGCGAAGGCGUCUGACUAGAACGGAUCCGACGGUAAGGGACGAAGCCCUGGGGCACAAACGGGAUUAGAUACCCCGGUAGUCCAGUGGUGUAAACGCUGUGGGCUUGGUGUUGGGAGUCCUACGAGGGCGCCCAGUGCCGGAGAGAAGUUGUUAAGCCUACUGCCUGGGGAGUACGCUCGCAAGAGUGAAACUUAAAGGAAUUGGCGGGGGAGCACCGCAACGGGAGAGCGUGCGGUUU
rnacentral:rRNA from 1 species